rnacentral:rRNA from 1 species
GAUGAACGCUAGCUACAGGCUUAACACAUGCAAGUCGAGGGGAAACGACAUCGAAAGCUUGCUUUUGAUGGGCGUCGACCGGCGCACGGGUGAGUAACGCGUAUCCAACCUGCCCAUCACUUGGGAAUAACCUUGCGAAAGUAAGACUAAUACCCAAUGACAUCCCACGAAGACAUCUGAAUGGGAUUAAAGAUUUAUCGGUGAUGGAUGGGGAUGCGUCUGAUUAGCUUGUUGGCGGGGUAACGGCCCACCAAGGCAACGAUCAGUAGGGGUUCUGAGAGGAAGGUCCCCCACAUUGGAACUGAGACACGGUCCAAACGCCUACGGGAGGCAGCAGUGAGGAAUAUUGGUCAAUGGGCGAGAGCCUGAACCAGCCAAGUAGCGUGCAGGAGGACGGCCCUAUGGGUUGUAAACUGCUUUUAUAAGGGAAUAAAGUGGGUCUCGUGAGACUUUUUGCAUGUACCUUAUGAAUAAGGACCGGCUAAUUCCGUG